GGUGAUGUGGCUUAGCUGGUCAAAGCACCUGUCUUGUAAACAGGAGACCCUGGGUUCAAAUCCCAGCAAUACCUGCCA